AGCCCUUGACAUGUCCCGUAUGGAUUCCAGAGACGGAGUCCUUCAGUUCGGCUGGCGGGAACACAGGUGCUGCAUGGCUGUCGUCAGCUCGUGUCGUGAGAUGUUGGGUUAAGUCCCGCAACGAGCGCAACCCUCGCCCUUAGUUGCCAUCAUUUAGUUGGGCACUCUAAGGGGACUGCCGGUGAUAAGCCGGAGGAAGGUGGGGAUGACGUCAAGUCCUCAUGGCCCUUACGGGCUGGGCUA
rnacentral:rRNA from 1 species